CAGCAGCCGCGGGAAUACGUAGGUGGCAAGCGUUGUCCGGAAUUAUUGGGCGUAAAGGGCUCGCAGGCGGUUUCUUAAGUCUGAUGUGAAAGCCCCCGGCUCAACCGGGGAGGGUCAUCGGAAGCUGGGAAACUUGAGUGCAGAAGAGGAGAGUGGAAUUCCACGUGUAGCGGUGAAAUGCGUAGAGAUGUGGAGGAACACCAGUGGCGAAGGCGACUCUCUGGUCUGUAACUGACGCUGAGGAGCGAAAGCGUGGGGAGCGAACAGGAUUAGAUACCCCCGUAGUCCCUGUCUCUUAUAC
rnacentral:rRNA from 1 species